rnacentral:lncRNA from 1 species
CUAGGUAAUUUAUAAAGAAUAGAAAUUUAUAUCUCACAAUUAUGGAGUCUAAGAAUUCUGGAGUCCAAGGAAGUCCAAGAUCAAGGCGCCAGCAGAUUUGGUGUCUGGUGAAGGCUGCUCUCCGCUUCCAAGAUGGUGCCUUGAUGUUGCAUCUUCUGAAGGAGAGGAACACUGUGUCCUCACAUGGCAGACAGUAGGAGAGUAAUCAUAGCCUCCUGGUAUUGCACAUUCAUGGGAAUAAUGAAUUUAUUUGGACUAGAAACUAAGACCUGUUGGAAUGUCACCAGAAUAGAACCUCUUAAUGAAGUUCAAAGCUGUGAAGUGGGACUCAACUGGGAGGUCUUAUUACAGUACUGUGCUUCUUUUUCAACCAUGGAGAGGUUUGUUUUCUAGAAAGCAAUUUUUAAGAAAUAGAAGAGGCUGUAGAGGAACAAGGAAAUAUACUCAUCAAAACAAUAUUUAAUUGUAUACUACUUAUGACUUCACAAUAUAUUAAAGACCCUUGUGUUAUAAGUUGAUAUUUUAAGCAUGUUGAUUGAAAUGUUUAAAUAGCCAGAAUUUCAAACAUGAAAUCUCUUGCCUUAUUUUUAGUAAAUAUAUACAUAUACAUAUAUUCUGUAGAGAAAAGGAAAUAUUGUACUUGUUGAGUUGAAUCGUAUCAUGCACAUUAUCUGAUUUAUUCCCACUAAACUUUUUUGUGGGUGGUGGUAGCCUCACCAUACAAGUUAUGAAAUUUAAAUUUAGAGAAAGUUAAGUUACUUAUCCACAUUCCACAUUUACUACAUGAUGAAGCUGGAUUUCCCAUUCUAUAUCUGUCUGCCUCUAAAACCUCACAUAUAUAUUAAUUUAUAUUUUAUAAAUUAUAAAAUUAUAGUUAUAUUUUAUAAAAACUUAUAUAUUAUAUAUAUAACAUAUAUAUUCAACUUUUUUAUUGUGGUCAGAAUAAGUAACAUAUGAUCUGCCCUCUUAAUAGAUUUUUAAGUGUACAAUAUAGUAUUAACACAAUGUUGUAUAGCAGAUCUCCAGAACUUAUUCAUCUUGCCUAACUGAAACUUCGUAUACAUUGCACUCC